rnacentral:rRNA from 1 species
AUGGGGUCGCCGGGGUCUACAAAUAGGCGGCCAUUGCAGAGGAAAUGGGUGGGAAGGAAGGAAAGAAGGCUGCAACCCCGCCCGGCCCCGGCCCCAGCUUGCCUCCUCCGCCUGCCGACGCCGGGUUUCGCACCCUGCGUCGCCGGUGGAGGCGGCAUUGCCGUUGCACUACGGCACAUCUCCGGCGCCACGCUUCGCCUCGCCUCCCCCACCCCGCCUCGACCUGGUACUCCGCUGCUGUCCCCCUUUCAGGCAAUGGAACCUAAGAAAACCCUAUUUAAGGGAGUGAUUGAGGAUUUUAGAGGAAGAGCAUCUUGCUACAAACAAGAUUGGCACAAUGGGUUCAGUUCUGGGUUCAGGAUAUUGGCACCUACUCUGUACAUCUUCUUUGCAUCUGCACUACCUGUUAUCGCCUUUGGGGAGCAACUAAGUAAAGAUACAGAUGGUACGCUAACGACAGUUGAGACGUUGGCAUCAACUGCUAUAUGUGGCAUCAUACAUUCUGUACUGGGCGGACAACCACUGCUGAUUGUGGGAGUUGCAGAACCAACAAUUAUAAUGUACACAUACCUGUACAGUUUUGCCAAAAAUCAGCCAAACCUUGGAGAACGAUUAUUCCUGGCAUGGGCUGGAUGGGUUUGCAUCUGGACUGCGGUCAUGUUGUUCCUCAUGGCAAUGUUUAAUGCCGCAGCUGCUUUGAAUAGAUUUACAAGAUUUGCGGGAGAAUUGUUUGGAAUGUUGAUCACAAUCCUGUUCAUGCAAGAAGCUAUCAAGGGAAUGUUGAGUGAAUUCAGUGUGCCUGAGGGUAAAGAUCAGAGCCUACCCAUAUACCAAUUCCAAUGGGUAUAUAUUAAUGGUCUGCUUGGAGUUAUCUUUUCAAUGGGACUGCUCUAUACUGCGUUAAAGAGCAGAAGUGCAAGGUCAUCGCUCUACGGAGCUGGAUGGCUAAGGAACGUGAUUGCUGACUAUGGUGUUCCACUUAUGGUGAUACUGUGGACCGCGUUGUCAUAUUCGUUGCCCACCAAGAUACCUUCAGGUGUUCCUAGGAGGCUGUUCACCCCACUUCCUUGGGAACCCAAGUCACUGCAACAUUGGACGGUAGCCAAGGAGUUAUUUUCUGUCCCUCUAGCCUACAUACUUUUGGCAAUUGUGCCUGCUGUGAUGGUUGCGGGGCUCUAUUUCUUUGACCAUAGUGUAGCCUCACAGAUGGCUCAGCAGAAAGAGUUCAAUUUGAAAAACCCAUCAGCAUACCAUUACGACAUUUUGGUCCUGAGCUUUUCGGUGCUGAUUUGUGGCCUUCUUGGCAUUCCUCCAUCUAAUGGAGUCCUUCCCCAGGCCCCCAUGCACACGCGAAGUCUUGCUGUCCUCAGGAGGCAGGCGCUCCGCAAACAGAUGGUCCGAACCGCCAAGGAAGGCAUGAUGAACAAUGCUAGCAGCUCAGAAGUUUACGGCAAGAUGCAAGAAGUUUUCAUUAAAAUGGACGACAAAGGCAACGAGGAUUCUGCUCACAAAGAGCUCAAGGAAUUGAAAGACGCCGUUAUCACAGAGGGGGAAAAAAUCACAGAGGGGAAUGGGGCAGUGACUGCGCCUGAGGUAUUUGACCCUGAAAAACAUCUGGAAGCUUACUUGCCUGUACGGGUGAAUGAGCAGAGAGUAAGCAAUCUGCUUCAGUCCCUGCUGGUCGCGGGUUGCAUUGGAGUUGUGCCGGUCAUUCAGAAGAUACCCACAUCAGUCCUGUGGGGGUACUUUGGCUAUAUGUCCAUCGACAGCCUGCCUGGGAACCAGUUCGGGGAGCGCUUACAACUUCUGUUCAUCACCCCUCGGCGGCGCUACAAGGUUCUUGAAGGCGCCCAUGCGUCCUUCUUGGAGUCGGUGCCUUUCAACCAGAUAUUGGCCUUCACCGUUUUCCAGCUGAUUUAUCUGUUGAUCGUCUGGGGGAUGACAUGGAUACCGGUGGCGGGAAUCCUGUUCCCGCUCCUCUUCUUCUUCCUUGUCAUCAUCAGGGAGCAUCUCCUCCCGAAAUUCUUCGACACGCGCCACCUGUGGGAGCUGGAUGCGUCCGAGUACGAAGAAUGCGAGGGGGUGCACCGUGACCCAUCGAUACCAGAGGGUGAUGGCGAAUCCAUCACACGAGGCAUAGAAGAUCCCUCUGAAUAUACUGCCGAGGUGAUGGAGGAAUUCACGACUCACCGUGGAGAACUGAAGCACAGGGCUCCAAGCUUCCGUGACGAGCGGCUGAUACGGCUGAACUCUGUCCAGAUGACGAGACAGUUCUCCCGGAUCUCUUCUUUUGCUCCUACACGGCCCUGA